GGCUUAGACUGAUUCUGUUGUGG
rnacentral:siRNA from 1 species